rnacentral:lncRNA from 1 species
CGGGCUGAGUCGGGUCCUGUGGACGAGGCCUGGCCCGCAGAGGCCGCUGUGUCUCUGCACACAACGGCUGUCCAGGCCAGAGCAGCCAUAGUGUAGCCUGGAGCCCCCCCACCGCUCCCAGGGAGGGGAGGGGCCGCCUGAGAUCCCUCAGGAAAGACUGGAUUCCAGGAGGCCUGACCCUCCGAGGGGAACUCGUGUGCUGCCCACCUGCUUCCUGCCGGGGACUGUCGGCCACUGAGCCUUCCAGGACCGGAGCUGCAGGGGCGACGCAGCCACCCACCGUCCCUCCACCUCAUCUUCCGCCGUCCCAUUGCCCGCCAGCUCGUCAUUCAGCAUGGAUUUCCUGAGCCACCCCCAGGCACCAGCACCAUGGCUCAGGCGAUGUGCAGACAACAAAGAAAGAAUCACACACUCACUCCCUGUCAAGUCCUCCCGGGCGCCUGGACUCAGCCGUGGAAUACGGAGACCUGCACGGAGUAAAGCUCACAGUCCGGAGCCUGAAUCCGCCGGCGGCGCAACAGGGGCCAGUUCAGAGCAGGCUGGUCUCGUCUCCUCCGGCCACCGCCCUCCCUCCCGGUCACUUGCAGGCAAUCCCCUGACUCCGCGUCAUCUGCCCCGGAGCCUCAGUACACAGGGCAUGUGGGGCCUCGGUGACCCUGAGGUCCAGUGCGUGCCCAGGAGGAAGGGCAAGCACUCAACUCUGUCCCUUUCUGAUUUAUUUUAUUCCUUUUCAGAAUAAUGAGCCCUAGCCUCCGACCAAGGCCCAGUGAGAAUUCUGUAGUAUUCUUUUAAAUAAAAUGGAUUUUAAAGAUAUUUGGUACA